rnacentral:piRNA from 1 species
GUUCAUCACCAAGGAAGU